GACGAACGCUGGCGGCGUGCUUAACACAUGCAAGUCGAACGGGAAGGCCUGCUUUCCCUUGUGGAUUGCGGGUACUCGAGUGGCGAACGGGUGAGUAACACGUGAGCGAUCUGCCCCCAACUUGGGUAUAAGCCUGGGAAACUGGGUCUAAUUCCCGAUAGGACUGCAGGGUGGUGCCUGUGGUGGAAAACGAUUUUCUAGUGGUUGGGGAUGAGCUCGCGGCCUAUCAGCUUGUUGGUGGGGUAAUGGCCUACCAAGGCGGCGACGGGUAGCCGGCCUGAGAGGGUGGACGGCCACAUUGGGACUGAGAUACGGCCCAGACUCCUACGGGAGGCAGCAGUGGGGAAUAUUGCACAAUGGGCGGAAGCCUGAUGCAGCGACGCCGCGUGGGGGAUGACGGCCUUCGGGUUGUAAACUCCUUUCGACCGCGAGGAAGCCACCUGGUUGGAAGGGUGGUGACGGUAGUGGUAGAAGAAGCACCGGCUAACUACGUG
rnacentral:rRNA from 1 species